CAUACACAAAGUUUUGCCAGUAGAAAUAUAUGUUUGGGCAAUGCCCAGGCAAAAGGGCCAUGUUCAGUCCCCAAUGUCCAGGCACAAAGGACUCUUCGCCACUCUUCCCUCUCUUGACAGAGUGGCAGAAAAGGAGCCUGGGGAACUUGGAAGGGAAGGGGAUAAGGCAGGGGAAGGGGCAGAUGACAAAUCCUGGGCCUCUUGCCCCUGCCCAGAAAUGCAACAAAGCAACCCCUGAACUCAACAUACAGGUCUGUUCUGGGGCCCCCACCACCCUAGCAUCACCCAUAAUGAUAGUUCUCACGUGCUGAGAGGACUUUUGAAGGGCUCACACACCCAGGGCUCACACAAUGGUCCCAAGUUCAAAUUCUCUGGCCCAUCUGCCAGAACACAGGAUCCCUCAUGGUUCCCUCUGGAGGUUAGGAAUGCCCCGCCUGCGUGCUGCCAUGGAACUCCUCACAGGGGCUUGCCUGAUUUCUGGUCCCAUUCCUCUGGGAAGAGGUAGCUGUUGUUCUAGGUGUGAUUAACCCCAUCACUCCCUAGGCCUGUGAAGGGACUGUGUCAGCUACUGCCAGAUCUGCAGGCAGCUGGGUCCACGCUGGAUAGCUCCCGCCAUUCCAAAACUCUCCCUUUAGCUGGUCGACGUUCUGUCUUUGUAACUUCAAAGAACAAACCUAAGCCCUCUCAGCUGACUGGGCUCUUUGAAGGCAGUGAUCACAGAUCUAGUGUUCUGAUUCUUCCAGACUGGGGCUCCUUUGUUAAAAACAAAUUUUAAAUUUGUUAUUUUUUUGAGACACUCUCUGUCGCCCAGACUGGAGUUCCUUGACUUAGCAAAGGGUUGGGCAAAAAGAUGUGGAGACCCCCUCGCCCCAACCGAAUCCCAUCAUUAGCUCUAAACUCAACAGCCCUAAGGGAGCAGAAGGGGGUCUGCUUAGAGAUCCUGGUUCCUU
rnacentral:lncRNA from 1 species